rnacentral:misc_RNA from 1 species
GUGAAUCAUCGAAUCUUUGAACGCACAUUGCGCCCGCCAGUAUUCUGGCGGGCAUGCCUGUUCGAGCGUCAUUUCAACCCUCAAGCCCCCGGGCUUGGUGUUGGGGAUCGGCGAUAGUCGCCGUCCCCCAAAUCUAGUGGCGGUCUCGCUGUAGCCUCCAUUGCGUAGUAGCUAACACCUCGCAACUGGAACGCGGCGCGGCCAAGCCGUUAAACCCCCAACUUCUGAAUGUUGACCUCGGAUCAGGUAGGAAUACCCGCUGAACUUAAGCAUAUCAAUAAGCGGAGGA